UACGUAGGUGGCAAGCGUUACUCGGAAUCACUAGGCGUAAAGCGCAGGUAGGAGGUUUGGUAAGUCUGUUGUGAAAGCUCCCGGCUUAACUGGGAGAGGUCAACGGAAACUACUAGGCUAGAGUGUGGUAGAGGUAGCUGGAAUUCCCGGUGUAGCGGUGAAAUGCGUAGAUAUCGGGAGGAAUACCUGUGGCGAAGGCGGCCUACUGGGCCGGACCUGACGCUGAGGAGCGAAAGUGUGGGGAGCGAACAGG
rnacentral:rRNA from 1 species